rnacentral:rRNA from 1 species
AUUGAACGCUGGCGGCAGGCUUAACACAUGCAAGUCGAGCGAGUGGCGGACGGGUGAGUAAUGUCUGGGAAACUGCCUGAUGGAGGGGGAUCACCACUGGAAACGGUCUCUAAUACCGCAUACCCUCAGAUGAGCCCAGAUGGGAUUAGCUAGUGGGUGGGGUAAUGGCUCACCUAGGGGACGACGCCUGGCGGGUCUGAGAGGUUGACCAGCCACUCGGGAACUGGGAAACGGUCCAGACUCCUACGGGGGGCAGCGGUGGGGAAUAUUGCACAAUGGGCGCAAGCCGGAUGCGGCCAUGCCGCGUGGGUGAAGAAGGCCUUCGGUUGGUAAAGCACUUUCAGCGAGACGGCGUUACUCGCAGAAAAAGCAACGGCUAACUCCGUGCCAGCAGCCGCGGUAAUAC